CUGAGAGCCAUGGAAAGGUAGAGAGAGGUUUCCACCAUUAAUAGAAAUCUUGGAUUAUCAGUCUUUGGAAACAGCUUGCAUAAAAAGAAUGAAGGGUUGUGUGUAUCUCCAGAAGGUGCCCCCACAACAUCCUGCUGGCUCCCUUUGGUGAGUGUAAAACGGCAUGCAGCAGGGAGCUAUACAGAGAAAGUAUAGUAAAUUGAGAGGAGUAAGCAUGCCGGUAUGGAUUACAAGGGAAGCAUGCAAAAACUGUAGGACCCAUGUAAGAAUUGAGUAAAACCCAUUUUUCCCUCAACUACACAACAGAAGUCAUGAAGGAACACCAGUUUCCGAUGGACCACAUUAUGAUACAAAACUGUAUGACUCUGUAUGGGAACUGUUGAACCACGGCCUGAACCUCUGAUUGAUCACCUGAGGCAAGCACUGAGUCAGCUGCAGGAGCACAGGUGAAGGCAAUUCAGCUGUGUGGCCGGAAGGGCUGAAGCCUUUUUGCUUUACUAUCUGUGGUUACCAAUCUGACCAUGCCACUCUGUAUGUUUGUUGAUUAUACCACUACCAGUAAAAAAGUGUUCUUUACAACCAGGUUUGCAAGUCCCUAUCUUUAAAACUGAUGAGGAUAUGAUUUCCCUCUCUGUCCCUAGAUCCUGAACUCCUAGAGGCAGAUUCACAAUGACUUGACUGAAUACAUGUGUCUGAUUCAUCUGAUUCUGACCCAGUGCUCACCUACCCCACUACUGCUGUAUCACAGUACAAGAAAUCUCAAUGUUACAUGAUGCAGCAAAGGCCCUGUAGGAGGAUUACUUAAGCAUAUUGAUUCAGUUUCCUGGAAGAGUGAUGCAUUGAUAUUGUGAAUUAACCUGCUAGAAUUCUCACAGUCCUCCUUUCAGACCUCAGUUCACAUCAGGCUGGGUAGAUUUCUGCGCAGUUCCCAGCUGAGUCACCAGAGAGGGGCCCGCCUUCAUCAUGGAUCAAUUUGAUUUCAAGCCCUGACAAAUACCCAGCUUCAAGACGGGGGACAAACUGUAAUGUGCUUUAUGAGAACACAAGGAAAUGAUGAAAAGUUCAAGAGUGACAGCUUGAAGUUCUGUAUGCAUACAAAAAGGACAACGUGAAUAAUGUCAGCAUGCACUUCCCCUUCCCUUCAGGAGCUCCAGAAUAUUUUAGAUGUGUAAAAAGAAUGUACUACUGUGACCUGACAUUACAAGUAUUUGAGGGGCAAAACCACAGCACUUCUAUAUUGACAGAUCACAUACUCUUAAUGCUGAGAUAUAUUUAUCUAUCUAGUACUCUAAGAUGCUGAAGGGGUAGGAUGUGCUUGAGAUAAAAAUAUGUUGGUACUGUUGAAUCAUACCAAAAACUUAACUUAAAAGACCUUCCUCUGACAAAAGCAACAACAACAAAACUGAAACAUAAAAUAUGCUAGACCUUCUUAUUUAAAUAGUAUUUGAAUUGAGCCAUUCUGACUACAAAGGCUUGAAGCCUGGAUACAGCCCUGAACUAAUUUCCUGCCUUUUGCUUUUGUUUGUCAGUUAACGUCAUACAGAUCAUGUCAUAUAAAUGAAGCUGAACACUGUUUAGGUCUUAGUGUUAGCAAACAAGAAAUCAUGAUUUGAUUCUUGCAUUCUGUGCCUCUGUCCUUGAGCCAACUCUGUGUGCUUUGUGCUUGCUACAGCACUGCACGUAUAACUGAUUGUUGGUAAUACUGAAAAUGACAUGCAUAUUGAAAUGCUUGCAAGACUGAAGUUUUUAACAUAAAAUAAAUGAGUACUUUGCUUUUGGGUUUCUUUGUUUGUUUUGUUUUGUUUUUUUGGCUGAAGAGUUGAGAGCAUUUUAUCUUAGGCCAACUGGAAAGUUACCUUUCAUUUCCUUCUCCCCCCCAAUAUUGUUUGUUUAAAGUGUUUUUACUUUUUUAUACAAGUCAAAUUAAAUUUAGAGAUAAAGAGCUGUUUUAAACUGAAAAUCAGAAUAUUUCAUACUGGAAGUGCUUAAAUCAUUAGAAGACCAAAAGAGUAAUCUUCUAGAAAUUCACAAAACAAUCCUUCUGUGUAAUUUUGGAGGGUAGAAGAUAUUAUUAAGAAUAUAUAUUUUUUCUAAUAUUAGAUGUUUUAAUAUUAUAAAAUCAUGGAAUGGUUGGGUUGGAAGGGACCUCAAAGCCCACCCAUUCCUACCCUGUGCUGUGGGCAGGGCUACCACCCACCAGUUUGGGCUGCCCAGGGCCCCAUCCAACCUGGCCUUGAACCUCCAGGGAUGAGGCUCAUUCUCAGCACCUCACUGCCCACUGAGAAAAGAAUUUUUUUCAACAUCUACCCUAGAUUUCCCCUCUUUUAGUUUAAAGCCAUUCCUCCUUGUUCUGUUGCUAUCAGACCACUUAAAAAGUUGGCCCCCCUCCUGCACAAUAUUAUCAGUAACAUGGUCAGUAACUUUUUACCCAUUUCCAGUUGUAACAUCUGCUCUAUGCUGAGAGACGUACAUUCAACCUGACCAACCUGGCUGCUUGUUCUUCAAAACCAAUGCUAGCGAGGAGUUACAGCGUUUUCUAUUUCUGCAUUUGAGCAUGGAGGAUGGAAAAAGUACCAAGCUCUGAGCUAUGCUCAAUGAAACAGAAUCCCGUCCAGAUCCUCAGUCUGAUACAAAGUCAAGAAAAGUGGCUUCAGGAAACUAGGGACUGUGAAUAUCACUGAUUUAAGAACUGGAUAAUUUAUAAAUCUAUUUAAUCUCCAGCCAACGAUUCUUUCCCUGCUAACAGCUUGCAAAGCAGAGUUAACCUUUUAGGCUAUUAUUUCAAG
ensembl:lncRNA